rnacentral:rRNA from 1 species
AAAGGAACUAAGGGCGCACAGUGGAUGCCUUGGCACUAAGAGCCGAUGAAGGACGCAAUUAACGGC